AAGAGCCGGCUCCUCUUGGUAAGCUGAGCCAAAUGAUCUGGCUCGCUAAAAAGAGCCGGAAUUCCCAUCACUAGCUCGAGCUCUGCGCUAAUAACGGCUGUUAGCACCUUGCUAGCUAGUUUUAUCCAGAAAGACGCUCAACAACUCUCCAUAAUAUCUCUAUAAAUACAUUUAUGAUCAACUUGACGCGUUCUCAGACUCAUAACGUCAUCUGCGUGUCUGCUAACUUCCAGGAUGUGAACACACGACGGAGCGAUGUCGAGCUAACCUUUAACUAAGUCAGAGUAGAUGUUGCUAAGCGACGCGGCGGCUGUAUGAACACAGAGACGUUGUAGUGUGACGGUGUGGUAACUAGUCUGGUGUGUUAAAGGUGUGUAGGAGAAGAAGAAGUCUCAACACUCACAGUUUGACAACAUUCUCAACAACAGCGGCCAUCUUGGUCUGAUCCACCACGGGUAGAGCAGCGUGGGGAUGUGGAGCCCUCAGAGCGGACUGGUAGGCAGACAGAGGAGCUGUGGGUGUGUGGAGCCCUCAGACAGGACUGAGAUUACAAGCUGUGAUGAAGCUCUCACUGACGGUUCUCUGUCGGUGCUCUGCUCUUUAGAUGACACCAUCCUUCCCAGCAUCCUCCGAUUCAUCAUAAACCUACUGUAUUACUGUUAGUCAUUACUCAGUCAUCCUUGACCUCAUUUGCUGCAGUUGCAUCAGUAAUUCAUUCUUAAUGACGGCACUGCAGCAGCUAUCCACAUCCUCUAUUACAUCCAUACUGCAAGAACUAUAUUUCACAUGCAGUAAAAUGUGAACACAGAAGAGAACAUGUCAUCUCUCUGUAUAAUGUGUGCACUGAACUGCUCAUGAGUAAUGCUAUAGAGGAAAGAACAUCUUCCUCCCACUAGUUACUGAAUCUAUAAAUAGGAUGCAGAAUGGUAUAGUCGUGAUGAUCAAUAUGCCAAACAUGAUGUCAUUGGUGUUGCUACUGUUUUAUAUUAAUAUAGUUGGAAUUUAAAACCUUUGUUUGUUAUUCUGUUUGGUCUAAAAACAACUACUUGUUGAUCUUAAUUUCCCCCAUUUGUUCUUGACUUGCUUGAAAAUAUUUGUAUAAUGUGACUCUGGAAUGAGCUUUCCAAAGUAUUAAAAAAAGAACCCCGA